GCCUGCUUUAAGUGAAGGCCGCAGGCGCGUCUUGUCCUCUUGGCGCCGGGGACCCCUGCGAGAUCUUUCCUGCGGAGGACCGCAGACAGCGUGGACUUCUCCAGCCUUUCCCCACACCUCUGAAUAAAGUUGUUCUGACGGUAGCGCUGGAGUCCGUGUGUGUCACUGCCCGACGCGCUGCCUUUGAGCCCCCGGCGCACCUCUGUUGUCCCGGGGGUUAAGCUGCAGCGCCAUAGCAAUUGCUGGCGCAUAACUGGGGCCGUCUGCCCGUCGCGGGCGGCCCUUUUAACCGCCAGCUACACGGCCCGCGUGUGCCUUGCUAAGUAGGUCCUGUUCUUUGUCCUGAUCCCAGGGGCGGGUGUAACUGAGGUGCAUGGCUCUGCGGUGAAAUGGGGCGGCCCUGGAGGUGUAGGAAUGCCACCGUGGCACAAGGGUGUUGAGGGGGGCAGAAGCCUUAAGGGCGGGGUGCGUAAUUAGGUGAGGCCUCCUACAGGAGUCGCAAGUCACAGGCUUGGUGCCUGACUAGCAGACAUGACAGGUUGAGCCUCCAGUAUGCACCAUAAAGUCCAUCAAGUAAAACAGUGAAUAACUGAGGACCCUCACCUAGUAAGAUUUCUUUCCUUUCCCGAAGGAAAUGGCACUGGAGUGAAGCUGCUUUGUUGGGUAUUCUGACAAGCUUGAAGCUUCAGGCAAACUAUUGUCAGCUUAAUAGCAGAAGCAAUUAGAAUAGUUAGGAAGAUUCGAGGCCUUUGGAGUAAACAGAGGUCAACAGGGAAAAACUAAGUUUGCAGGUCCCAAAGACCAGUUUUUCUGUGAAAGAUCCAGCUUCACCCUGAGUUAAACAUAGCUAACGCCAUUUUGUGAGACACCACUGUUUUGUAAAAAUCUGAAGGCCAGAUGAGAAACUGGAAAAUUACUGAAAACACUCAGCUGUGUCACCCGCUUGGGAUAUUUGUGGUCAGGCCGCCCCAAUUGAGCUAAAAACAACUUGUUAUGACCACCCUCAUGAGAUAUCUGUCAGAGAAUGCUCCAACUGAGAUAGGGAAAGACAAAAUAACAGGUGGCGGGUCACGUCAGGGGGUCAUCAGACCCCCUUGACCCACCCAGCUCCUGGAAUCUUGGUGCCCCUGCCAAACUUUGACGCAAAUCAUGGUCUCAUGAAAAUGUACCAAUCAGCCCCCUGUAACCAUGCUCUCUCGCUUCUGUAUUAUUGCUACUGCUCUAAAACCCUAUAAAAACCCCAGCUUUCCAUCUAGGGGGCGCGGAAGUCUUCCGAAUGACUUUUCGCCCCGAGUACUCGUGAAUCAAAAUAAAAGCCUCUUGCUGUUUGCAUCCGAA